UUAAUAUAUAGCAUAUGAAUCUUACUUUAACCCACCCACACACCAUCUUCCUUACUCUCUUCUUCCUUUCUCUCUCUCCUCGGUGUCCUUCUUUCCCACUUCCCCUCCUCCGCAUGCCCCUUCUUCUUCCUCCCUUCCCCUUCUCUGGAUAAGGAAAGACGGAGCAAAGCGUAAGAAAGGCAGGAUGAGUAAAAAACAAAGAGAGCAAAAUCACUUUGUCCUGGUGCAUGGUAUAGGCCAUGGUGCCUGGUGUUGGUACAAGCUUAAGCCACUGUUGGAAUCCGCCGGCCACAAAGUCACAGUCCUUGACCUUGCAGCUUCUGGCAUCGACACACACGACAUUGAAGACAUCCACACAUUUUCUGAGUAUUCUAAGCCUUUGUUGGAUCUCUUGGCGUCGCUUGCUCCUAAUGAAAAAGUGGUCCUUGUCGGGCAUAGCUUUGGAGGGAUCAGUAUAGCCCUUGCAAUGGACAAAUUCCCAGAGAAAAUAUCACUUGGAAUUUUCCUAACAGCUUUUGUUCCUGAUACCCAACACAAACCAUCACAUGUCUUAGAAGAGUACAUUGAUAGAUACCCAUAUACCGGAUGGAUGGACACUGAGCUCUGGAAUAGUGGAGGCAAAACAACAUUGCUUUUUGGCAUCAAAUUCUUGUCCACUAAGUUCUAUCAACUCUGCUCCACUGAGGAUCUGGAAUUGGUGAAGACUUUAAGAAGAAAGGGUUCACUAUUUGCUGAAGACCUUUCUAAGGCAGAGAAUUUUUCCAAAGAGAAAGAUGGGUCUGUUCCAAGUGCUUAUAUUAUUUCCAAUGAGGACUUGGUAAUUCCAAAGGAGUAUCAGCAAUGGAUGAUCCAAAAUGCAGGGAUUGAUGUGGUGCGAGAGAUCAAGGGAUCAGAUCACAUGGUUAUGCUUAGCAAACCCCACAAACUAUGUUUAUCUCUCCUCGAGAUAGCUGAUAAGCAAGUUAAGUAAACGUUAGUAUGCAACAAUUACAUGAACAAAGCAUGUUUUUGUGUAGCAGAGGGUCAUGCUCUAUCUCUGCUCCAAAAAUGCAGCACCGUGACCUCACUGCGAGAGGCGCGUCAACUCCACGCCCUCAUAUUAACCACUACCACCGCCUUCACCUCCCAAUCUCCGUUUGUGUACAACAACAUCCUCUCUAUGUAUGCACGGUGUGGUUCACUCACGGACUCUCACCUCGUGUUCGACAAAAUGCCUCGCAGAACCAUUGUUUCUUACAAUGCACUCCUUGCAGCCUAUUCUCGAGCAUCACCAAACCAUGCCAUUUCUGCUCUUGAAUUGUAUACCCAAAUGGUUACUAAUGGUCUUAGACCCUCCAGCACGACUUUCACUAGCUUGUUGCAAGCAUCUUCCUUGCUAGAGCAUUGGUGGUUUGGAUCGUCACUUCACGCCAAGGGCUUCAAGUUGGGUUUGAAUGAUAUUUGUCUCCAAACUUCUUUGCUUAAUAUGUACUCGAAUUGCGGGGAUUUGAGUUCUGCUGAAUUGGUUUUUUGGGAUAUGGUUGAUAGAGAUCAUGUUGCUUGGAAUUCUCUCAUUAUGGGAUAUCUAAAGAAUAAUAAGAUCGAGGAGGGUAUUUGGCUAUUUAUCAAAAUGAUGAGUGUUGGUUUUGCCCCAACCCAGUUCACCUAUUGUAUGGUUUUGAAUUCCUGUAGCCGUCUGAAGGAUUAUCGUUCUGGGAGAUUGAUUCAUGCCCAUGUGAUUGUUAGGAACGUGUCACUUGAUUUACAUCUGCAAAAUGCUCUGGUUGACAUGUACUGCAACGCUGGUAAUAUGCAAACAGCAUACAGGAUUUUUAGUAGAAUGGAAAACCCGGAUUUAGUUUCUUGGAAUUCAAUGAUUGCUGGGUAUUCUGAGAACGAGGAUGGAGAGAAGGCCAUGAAUUUGUUUGUCCAAUUGCAGGAAAUGUGCUUUCCUAAACCAGAUGACUAUACUUAUGCUGGCAUUAUAUCUGCAACUGGUGUAUUCCCAUCUUCCAGUUAUGGAAAAUCUCUUCAUGCUGAAGUUAUUAAAACUGGAUUUGAGAGAAGUGUGUUUGUAGGAAGCACUUUAGUGUCUAUGUAUUUCAAAAAUCAUGAAAGUGAUGCUGCUUGGAGAGUAUUUUGUUCAAUAUCGGUGAAGGAUGUUGUUCUCUGGACUGAAAUGAUCACUGGCUACUCUAAAAUGACUGAUGGAAUUUGUGCAAUUAGAUGCUUUUUUCAAAUGGUUCAUGAAGGCCAUGAGGUCGAUGACUAUGUUCUCAGUGGAGUUGUGAAUGCAUGUGCUAACCUUGCAGUUUUAAGACAAGGUGAAAUAAUUCAUUGCUAUGCUGUUAAAUUGGGUUAUGAUGUUGAAAUGUCUGUUUCUGGGAGUCUAAUUGAUAUGUAUGCAAAAAAUGGUAGCCUUGAAGCUGCGUAUUUGGUGUUUUCGCAAGUUUCAGAACCAGAUUUGAAGUGUUGGAACUCAAUGCUUGGAGGAUAUAGUCACCAUGGAAUGGUAGAGGAGGCAUUGCAAGUUUUUGAGGAGAUUCUCAAACAAGGUCUUAUUCCAGAUCAAGUGACAUUCUUGUCUCUAUUGUCAGCUUGCAGCCACAGUAGGUUGGUUGAGCAAGGAAAGUUCCUCUGGAAUUAUAUGAACAGCAUUGGUUUAAUUCCUGGGCUUAAGCACUACUCUUGCAUGGUAACUUUGUUCAGUCGGGCAGCAUUACUGGAAGAGGCAGAAGAAAUUAUCAAUAAAUCACCUUAUAUUGAAGAUAAUCUAGAACUAUGGAGAACUUUGUUAAGUGCCUGUGUUAUAAAUAAAAAUUUUAAAGUGGGAAUUCAUGCAGCAGAGGAAGUUUUGAGAUUGAAAGCAGAAGAUGGUCCAACGCUUGUUUUGCUUUCUAAUCUUUAUGCUGCUGCAAGGAAAUGGGAUAAAGUUGCAGAAAUAAGAAGAAAUAUGAGGGGAUUGAUGCUGGACAAAUAUCCAGGGUUAAGUUGGAUUGAGGCCAAGAAUGACAUUCAUGUGUUUUCUUCCGGAGAUCAAUCACAUCCCAAGGCUGAUGAAGUGCAUGCUGAACUGCAUAGGCUAAAAAGAAAUAUGAUUAGAACAGAAAAUGAUGACAAAGAGACACAAAAUGCAUGCUACAUAAGUUGCAGAGACUAAGCUUAUGCUCUAGAGGUUCAAUUUAAUUCAAAAACAAAUGAAGUACAUACAGGACUGCAGUUUGAGGACAUAGGUAAGGAUUAAACUACUGUCGACAGGGAUGAUGGAUUGUAAUUUUUCCACCUUCUGUUUGUAUUCAGAAUGUUAUACAACAUUCUUCUCUAAGUCAAAAUAUUUGUUAAAUGCACUAAUACAAUAAUAUGUUUGUAAAUUAAAUUAGCAUUCUUAAAUAACUAUAAAUCUCGUCGCUACAAUGUGGAGGAUUAU